GUUGCCUUUGUUGCUUCUAUUAAUACACAAGUUGGAAUUGAUCAAAAGAUGUUAAAAUUUUGUUAUGAUAGGCUUCACUCCCUUAUGUUAACCCUGGAGAUUACUGAUACAGAUGAGUUUCUGCAUAUACAAACUGUUUGUGACCUUGCCACGUUGGUAGGGACGUACGCUCGGGGCUUUUCCAUUAUAAUUGAACCAUAUGACGAGAGGAUGCCACAUAUUCCUGAU
rnacentral:misc_RNA from 1 species